UGACUACUCCCUCCAUUCUGAAUUAUUUGUCUUAAUUUUUUCUAGAUACGGAGGUAUCUAGCACUAAAAUAAGUCUAGAUACAUCUGUAUCUAGACAAAUUCAAGAUAAAUAAUUCAGAACGAAGGGAGUAAUAC
rfam:Triticum aestivum genome assembly, contig: Triticum_aestivum_CS42_TGACv1_scaffold_472275_6AL